CUUUGUGGGUGCGAACUGGCCUCCCUCCCGGGCGGCUCACUGCAGCCCCAGCAGUCGGGGCCUUGAGAGGCGGCAGCAGCCUGCCCAACCGCUAGACCUCCUCCCUCCUCCGGGUGUCGAGCGCUUCAUUCUAGAGGGGUAGGUGCACCUGGAUGGCUCAGUGGUUAAGCUUCUGCCUUCGGCUCAGGUCGUGAUCUCGGGGUCAUGGGAUCGAAUACCCCAUACGGCUCCCCGCAGGAAGUAUGCAUGUGUCUCUGCCUGUCAUGAAUAAAAAAAAAAAAAAAUUAAAGAUCUUUAAUUCUGGUGUAGUUUCUAGUGUAGUUAACUUACAAUGUUAUAUUAGUUUCAGGUAAAUUUUAAGAUCUUAGUCCGCUUUGUUAAGCCACUAUGAAUGGGCAGCAUCCAGGAAGUAGAGAGAUGCUCCAAGGAGUUGUACAAAAUGGAAAGUUUUUUUUUUUUUUUAUAGGAAGGAGGGUGGGAAACAUUAUUAGCAAAAGGAAAAAAGAAAGAUUGUUAUAUUUUGGUGGAGAGGGAUGGAAAGGCAGAGUCUUUGUCAUAUGGAUGCCCUCACUAAUGAUCAUCAGAAAAGUUCAGAUGUUACAAGACCACAUUCCUGGCAUAAGUUGAAACUGUAACUAAGUCUUGGUUUCUUUAGGGGAGGGGAGCAGGGGCAAAAGACUCCAUUUUGGGCUUAACACCUUAAUUAUCACCAAAAAGUGUCUGGAAGAUGGGAAUGAUCACACUCCACAGAUAGGACACCAAGGCUUAGAGAAGUUUACUCAGGUUCACACAGUGUGUUUAGUGGAAGAUCAAGGAUUGGGAGGAGUCUUUUUGGCACCACGGUCUCCUGACUUUAAGCCUGCCCCCUCCUUUCUCUUUGAGAAUGAUCUCUCUUGGUUCUCCUCUCUCACAAGCUCCUCCUCCUUCUCUGACAGCCUGGCAAGUGCUGGGUUAUCUGACCUCUCUUCCUUUCUCUGUGCCCUCAUUCCCCUGUAGAGCUGCUUCAGUCUGAUAGCUUCAAAUGCCAUCUUAUAUGCUAAAGACUCCUGACUUAUAACUCUAGUAGUCCGACAAUGGGAUGCAAAUAUUAUUGAACUCCAGACCUGUAUAUCCAGUUGCUUAUUCUGGGGCCAUUUGCGUAUGUGAUGGACAUCUUGAACCUAACAUAUGUCCCAAAGGAACUUCUGACAUUCACCCAACCAGUUUCUUCAACAGUCUUCAUCCUAGCAAUUGGCAACUCCUUUUUUCUAGUUGCUCAGGCCGAAAAUCUUGAUGCCAUUCUUGUCUCUUCACCCCCAACCCAAACUCAAUGAAAUCCUGAAUUCUGGUAUCUCUGUCUUCAAAAUAUAUCCAGGAUCAAGCCACUUUCCACAUCUUCACUGCUCUAUCCUCCACCAAGCUGCUGUCAUCUCCUUGUUGGCUGGGCUUCUCUGGGAAACCACCUGGCAGGGACCAGUGUGCCCUUGAGCCUGGUUGUAUCUGAAGAGCUCAUUCUAGGAAGGGAGUACACACAUGGUACAGAAAAGCCCUGUCUCAGCAGGGAGCACUGCUGCAUUUGGCAAUAAUUUAAGGGAGGAUGGUCACAUGUAUGGCACAAGUGCAGUAACAGGAGUGAUCCAUCUCCUAGAAAAGGGACCCUGAACAAUGGUUCUGUCCACCAAGCUUGAGACUUUGUUUCCUUUGGGUUCCCUGGGAAAGGAAACUCUAGGGAUUCCCAUUCCUGGGUUUGCAGAAAACAUCUCUAUUAAAAGCAUGGCCAGAGGGGAGCAGAGCCCCACCCUGCAUGUUGUGAGUCCAGGGGCAGGUCAACAGCUGGCUUUCUUCCAAUCUCAGCCUGUGGGGUCUAAAUACAGCACGUGCACAUUUGUUGUUUUCAUACUUAGAAUGAAUUGGCUCUGACUGUACUUCCUGCUUGAUCACAGUUGAGGACUAAGAGGCAGGGGGGCUGCUGUCCAUCCGGGCACCUGAGAAGAGUUCUCUCUCUCCUUUCUCCACAGCUGCAGGGUACCUGUGUCCUGCCCACCAGGGGACAGAUUGUGCAUUGCUGGCUCCUCCACAAAUCACCUGGUCAGACUGGAUGUGCUUUGUUUCCAUGGGACUAAAAGGUCCAGAUGUAUCCUGGGUGAACACAUGGCUUUUUUGUGAUGGUGGAAAGGCCUUUAAUCCAUUUUCUGGUACUACUGCCGUCCCAUCCGAGCCCCUGCGUGGAAGAUUCCUAUGGUCCUCUGAGAUGCUGAUCCUAUUGCUCAUCAUCCAGGCUGCUCACAGACUCCCAUCAGUGAUUCUUCCCCUGUGCCCUUUGGCUACCUUUGUCCUCAGGCCCCACACUAGUCUGAAAUGCACUGAAAUGAAGGAGUCACUUUG